rnacentral:rRNA from 1 species
UACAGAGGGUGCAAGCGUUAAUCGGAAUUACUGGGCGUAAAGCGUGCGCAGGCGGCUUCUCAAGUCAGGGGUGAAAGCCCAGAGCUCAACUCUGGAAUUGCCUUUGAGACUGUGAAGCUUGAGUACGAGAGAGGUGAGUGGAAUUCCCAGUGUAGAGGUGAAAUUCGUAGAUAUUGGGAAGAACACCGGUGGCGAAGGCGGCUCACUGGCUCGUAACUGACGCUCAUGCACGAAAGCGUGGGGAUCAAACAGG